UGACCCUUCAGAAGCAGGCGUUGGAGAGGGAUAUAGACGCUUUGAAAGAGAAAGUCAAAUGGACUGAGGGCGAACUGAAGUAGAGCCAGAAGAAAGAGGCCCAAACACAAACCAAACUAACGGAGUCACUGUGUGAGAGGGAGGGGCUGAAUGUAACACUGGAGCAGAACAGGAGGAGAGAGACAGGACUGGAGGAGGAGGUGAAGAAGCUGGCUGAGGAGCUGGCAGAGGCCUUCGGAUGCAUCAAAGAACUAGAAGACCAGAAGACGGUCCAACCCACUGCUGCUCCAAUGGCUCCAGUCCCGUUUAGCCCUGCCGGACAGAGCUUUGCCCCGGUUUGACAACCACGACAUGGCCACACCACCCCACGUGCACCCUCGGCUCAGACCAACAGACCUGCUAGAGGGGAGCAAGCGAGGGAGGAGCGAGAGGAGAGAGGGAACGAGGGACAGAGAGCAAAGUACCCCACAGAGCGAGAGCCUGGCGAGGGCAUCGACUCAGAGCACAUCACUCCGUUUGGAUCCACAGACUCUGACAAAACAAAGAGGGCUGGAGAAAGGGGGAAAGGGGAGGAUAGGAAACGAGAGAAUGAGAGACAAGACGAGGUAGAGUCGGUAGUAGAUGGCUGCAUCCCUGGAAAGGAUGCGUCCACCAAGGACAAAAACUCACUCAGCACACAGAGCUCUCUUUCUGACACAGACCACAGUCCCCACCUCAGCAGGUCCGCUAGCUCCGACACAGACUACGAGAGCGAGACCCUGUCCAGCCACUCCAAACCCCGAGCCCAGACCACCGGGGCUGAGGGAGACCUACAAAGGGAGAACUGAGAGCUGCGUUCAGAGCUGCAGGACGUUAAGGAUGAGUUACAAAGGAGACUGGAGGAUCUGGAGACCCAGCGCAGAGCCGAGGCCCGGACCAGACUCAAGCAACUCAGCCGCCAACAUGCCUCCCAGACUGAGACCUCCAGAGAGGAGGGGGGAGUUAGAGAGAGCAGAGACACGGAGGUUGAAGGAGACACUGGCUGAACUUGAGAUAAAGGUCAGGAGAGAUGGAGAGGACAGGGAGAGGGGGGAGGGAGAGAAGGAGGAAAGAGAGGGAGAGAGAGGACAGGGAGUCGGAAAGCAUGCUGCUGAACCUCCAGCUAAAAAAGCAGCUGGCUGAGUUGAAGACAGAGCUCUUGGUAGAACGGGAGGAGAGAGAAAGUGAAAAGGAGGAGAGGAAGAGAUUGAAAAACAAAGGGAUAGAAGGAACGAUUGACCUGACUGUCAAGCUGGAAGAGCUCCAGGGAGAGUUGAAGGAACUGAAGAACCGUGGACGUCUUGAAGUGAAGAACAUGGUAGAUAAAAACACCUCACCCUGCACCAUGACAUCACCUCUAACUCCAACAACAACACCGUUGUCCCUGACUACAAGCUACUACCAUCUCCAGACCAGCACCAUCUCCUGUGUGAGAAUACCAACCCGCAGAACACUGUUGUCUCCCAGGCAACAGCAACAACAGCUGAUCUGAUCCAGGAAUACGGAACUCUGACCAAAGCUCCAGAUCUCUCCAGACCUAUUGGUGAGGGAGAUACCAUUGUGGAGGCCCAGAGGGGUGUGUCUCCCUCAGACCAGGCUGAAACCACCAUGGAGCUCCAAAGUGGAGGCCUCUCUGCCUCAGAGCUAGCCCAGGAGGUGGAGCAUCUGGGUGGGGAGAGCGCCAAGGAGGCUGGGCGAGCCAGACAGACCCAGGCCAAGCUGGUGGCCAGACAGAGCCAGGUAACCAGGCAGGUGAUGAGGGUAGUCAGCUGCCCACUCCACAGAAAAACUGUGUCACAGAAUUUUAUUAUGUAAUACACAGCACUACCACUCUGAGCAACCAUCCUGUUGAAUAUGAGGCAGCGAAGAUGGUGGAUUCUAAGGCUUCUGCUCAGCCAAGCAGGAGUGAAGAGACAGUUGAAAACACAGAGAAAUUCAAAUCGGACCAUUUAACUGUCACACGUUCUGAGGAGCAGAUGAAACAUCCUGAGGUUUCUGGGCUCCAACAGCAACACGUCCGUAGUGACGGACACACCAUGUACAGCCCUGUCUUCAGGAGACCUACUGAAGAGUCCCAGAGAGACCUGAGUCUAACCAGGACUGAGAAUACACGUCUUACUGUAGAGCUGGAGAAAGCUUCUGCUCCUACCAACAACAGUACACCAGUGGACAGGGUCGAGAAGACAGUCUGGCUGAAGAGCUGCGGUCUCUAAAACAGAAUAACGAACAACUGAAACUCAAACUUCAAGAUGUGGCAACCACAGACAUAGAAAUGUGUUUUGUCAGUAACACAACACUACCAGCCACCUGUGAAGACCAGGCUGAAAGACAAGCAAAGAGAAGGACAAGAAAGAACCAGGGGGGAGGACAGAAUGUUAUCUCCACCUCUGGAGAGCUAGAGCAAAUCAGUGACAUCAUCACCUCAGGACUGGAGGCCACACUGCAGGAUGGAGGGAAACCCAAAGACGAGGAGAGAGGGGAAGUGGAGUCGGAAGGAGAGAGAGGAGCUAGGGGAG